AUUGAACGCUGGCGGCAUGCUUUACACAUGCAAGUCGAACGGUAACAGGGUGCUUGCACCGCUGACGAGUGGCGAACGGGGGAGUAAUGCGUCGGAACGUGCCGAGUAGUGGGGGAUAACGCAGCGAAAGUUGUGCUAAUACCGCAUACGUACUGAGGUAGAAAGUGGGGGACCUUCGGGCCUCACGCUAUUCGAGCGGCCGGCGUCUGAUUAGCUAGUAGGUGAGGUAAAGGCUCACCUAGGCGACGAUCAGUAGCGGGUCUGAGAGGAUGAUCCGCCACACUGGGACUGAGACACGGCCCAGACUCCUACGGGAGGCAGCAGUGGGGAAUUUUGGACAAUGGGCGAAAGCCUGAUCCAGCCAUGCCGCGUGUCUGAAGAAGGCCUUCGGGUUGUAAAGGACUUUUGUCAGGGAGGAAAUCCCUAGUGCUAAUAACACUGGGGGAUGACAGUACCUGAAGAAUAAGCACCGGCUAACUACGUGCCAGCCGGCGCCGUAA
rnacentral:rRNA from 1 species